CAGUCGGUCUGAGAAGGUCGGAGCGUUCUGAUAAGAGUCAGCGGCUGGGACCGGCAGCGGAAACAACGAGGCUUUGGAAGCUUCCUGACAUAUCUGAAUCUUCCUAAUGAAUGUGUAAUUUGGAGAAUUUCAUACGGACGUAAAGCUGACAACUCACCUCCAACUAGUGCCGAGGUCAAGAAAAAUUUAUUCCAGAUGGCACAUCGCGAAAGACACGGAGCAGCGUCCACCACGGGAGACAACACCUCAGUGCGAAGUGUGAGCUCCGAGGAUGUUAGUUACGUAGGCGCGCGCGGUCAGUGCUGUGUGAAGGCAGCCAACCCAGCUUACAAGAGGGGGCGACGGCUCCAGUUGCUGCAGAUGCUGGUGCUUCCGUUUAUCCCUAUACUAGCCCUCAUUGUCCAGACGGCCAUCACCCUUCAUGACAUCCUCAUCUACAGGCAGGAAGUCUCGGAUAUUGAAGCUCAGGUGACAAUUGCCACGGAUCUAGGGAAAGUGGUGACGCAAAUGCAGCUGGAAAGAUCUGAAGUAGCCUUCUUUAUAUUCACCAAUGGCAGCACUUUACGAUCCGGACUGGACCACAGGUUUGCUCUGACGAAUCAGGCUUUGAGCAACAUGAGCACCUGGCCACAAGUCCAUGUUCCAGAAACCGAAAAAAGCACCGUUCUGUUGGGCAACAAAACCACUUUCUUGAACCGCCUCAAUGACUUUAGAUUAAACGUCAGUGACAGCAGUAUCUUGGAAGUAUUGCAUUGGUAUACAUCUGUAAAUGCUGCUCUAUUGAACCAUCUCACUAAUCAAAUCAAAGAAACAGACAACAGUGGAGUGUGGAGGUACUUAAUUUCAUUCAAGAAUUUGCUGCGGAGUAUAGAGAACAUUGGCAUCUCCAUGGUAUAUGGCAUCAACUACUUUGCAAGGGGAAAACUCCACAAUUCAAGCUACAUCCAUUAUGUGCGUCAUGAAGCCUUGGGAAAUGACUUACUUAACAGUUCACUCAAUUAUGUACCAUCCCUUAGGCAGCUGUACAUGGAUCUCACCACACGGAUGGGUGACUAUGGAAAUAUCAGGAGGAGAAAGGAAGAAAUUCUUGGCAACUCCCAACGUAACAAAAGUCAUGAGAUAGCUAAAAUUUACUUUGACAACAUGGCGUCUUAUGUGGAUGAAUUACGUAAACUACAAGGUGCACUUCGGGUCAAGAUCCGUGAUUACGUAAACUCUAACUUGUUAGAUGCAAGCCAUAAGGAGGCCUAUGGCAUAGCCAUCUUGGUUCUAGUGCUUGUAGUGUCACCUAUCAUCAUCAUCCUUGUGCGCAAUGCAGUUGCCACUAUUCAGAUGUACUCUGCUAAUCUAGCUCAGAAGGCAAAGGAACUGAAGAAGGAGAAGAAGAUAAGCGACACAUUGUUGUUCCAAAUGCUACCACCAAGUGUUGCACAGCAGUUGAAACAAACUAAACAAGUUCCAGCUGAAUUCUAUGCAUCUGUCACAGUAUACUUUAGUGAUAUUGUUGGAUUUACAGAAAUCGCAGCUAUUAGCACCCCAUUAGAGGUGGUGACAUUUCUCAAUUCAAUAUAUAAAAUGUUUGAUGCACGUAUCGAGUGCUAUGAUGUUUACAAAGUAGAGACUAUUGGAGACUCCUAUAUGGUGGCAUCAGGAUUACCUGUCAAAAAUGGUGAGGUGAAAUUAAAAGGUGACAAACAUGUAACAGAGAUAGCCACAAUGGCACUGGAUCUUCUGGCAGGUUCUGUGGUGUUCAAGAUUCCACACCGUCCAAAUGAAAGGCUCCAAAUACGCAGUGGAGUUCACACAGGGCCAGUUGUUGCCGGAAUUGUUGGCACAAAGAUGCCACGCUACUGCCUAUUUGGUGACACUGUCAACACCGCAUCACGCAUGGAGUCAACAGGGGAGGCCUUGAGGAUUCACAUUAGUGCAGAAGUGAAACGUGCUCUGGAUGCAGUUGGUGGUUUUCGUACUGAACAUCGAGGACUUGUCGAUGUUAAGGGUAAAGGUUUGAUGGACACAUACUGGCUAACAUGUAAAGAUGGCGGCAUCACAAGAUCAUCAGAUUUUGAUGUCCCCACUCUUUUCGAUGAUGACCAACCUAUGUUCAUCAGGCGACUGCGUGAAGAGUACUACAUAUGAUACAACGCACAUCCCAGUGUGUCCUUUCUGAAACAUCAAGAAAUCUGUCACUAAUUUUACAUCCCAUUGAUACUGCUGUGACCAAUGGAUACAAAUCAUGUAAUAAACCCCUGGUGCUAAACAAAAAUGUAAAAGACCAGUGAUGCAUCUACAAUGGAAAGUGUGCCUUUGUCAUCUGUCAAAAUAGAGGGACUGCAGAAUCCAUCACAGGGUGUCAUUCUCAGCUAUGGAACAGUGGAACCCUGAAUGCCUUUGGGGUUUCUUGGAGAAGAGAGAGUCUGUGUCGAUGCUGAUGGUCCAGCAUGCAUGUUUUCUUCUGGAGCCUUACAUGCAAGAAGUUAUCAGUAUAAGCUGAAGGAUACUGGUAAGCCUUAUUCACUGGUUUUUGAACUGUUGGUUCAAGCCUGUGGAUUGCGAAUGAGUUUAAAAACAUGUACACCCUGAAUAUACUAGAAUUUAUAUACCACAUAUAUGCAAUAAUGCAAAAUCUGUGCUGGAUUUUAAAUGGAUUGAAAGCACUUGGAUAUGCCAUACAAGCUAGGUGAGCGGUACUGAAAAUUAACAUAUGUUUCCAUGUGUUACUUAAUAUCCAGUUUCUGGUUGCCACAUUGAGAAUUGCUUAAAUAGAAUGACUGAAUAGAAAAGUUUGUCCCAGUUACUCCAUUUUUUGUCAGUCAUAAAGGGAAUACUGGUUAUAAGCAAUCAGACUAUAGAAUAUAUUAUAAUAUAGAAUAGAAUAAUUAAUAUUACAUGAUAAGGUUAUAAUUAACAAUUGUCUGAUAUUGUGUUAGAACUCAAAUUUAUUCAUAUUCUGUAGACCAUUUACAUGACUAGGCCAAGUAUGUAGAACAUGUCAUAAUACAAAUACAGUACGCUGCUUAUUGUGAGGGUCAUAAGAAACAUACAAAUGUACUCUGUGGGUAGAAUGCACAAUUUUAACAUGUUAAAGCACGCUGUACACACUGUAACCAAUGGGCAUUAAAGGUUUGAAUAAAGCAUGACAUUAAGGGCUGGGGCAGAGAUUUUUCUCUUUGCUGCCUAUCCAGAUGAAUCUAGGUCAACCAUCCACCUACGUAAUGCGCAUCAGAAGCCCAUGUUCCGCAGAAAUAGCGAUAGGAGCGUGAAGCUGACAGCCCAGCUCCAGGUAAUGCCGAUGUUAACCGUUUUUAAUAUUAACUUAAACUAUUAACAGGUAUCGGCAAUACACAAAACAAACUGAGCAUUUAUCGGCUUGGACAUGUAGGUUAGGUUAUUGUUUAGUCCCUCAUUCAUUGUAACAAGUAGACUACAGGCUGGCUGAUCGAAAAAUCGUGGUUCGAUUUUCGGAAGCGGAAAGAGAUUUUUCCUUUAUUCACAGGAUCCAGGCCGAAUCUGGAGCCCCCCAGACUCCUAUCCAGUGGGUGGUUGGAGUACUUACCCCUGACUGAAGUUGCUGGGAUGUAUUGUCGGCCUUCCAUUUCCAUUUAAUGCCGAAGUUAAGUAUGCGUGGAAUUUUUACCUCC